UGGAACAGGGAGAAAUGGGGAGGAGAAGGAAGACAGGACUGUCCCCUUCGGGUGACAGCAGUGGUCACAAACCCGUCAGAGUCCUGUUGCACCACAUCUGCAGCCACCGCUGUCCCUGAGGGCCGUGAUUUCCCCAGGGGUGCCGGGGCAGCGGUGGUGUUGCAGCAGUGGUGAAAGGAGGCUGCGGUGAAUCAGCCCCGUGGUAGCAAACAGAAAGGUUCAAUUAGAAAAGCCAGCGGGAAAAUAAAGAUCUGCCUUGUUGCAAUGCGGUAGUUAUCCGUAGCAACCCCAAACAAAUAUCUGUGCGAGGGAGGCGAUUUCCACCCUGUUAAUCAGCAAACAAAGCCUUGGGGGUGUGAAGCUGGUGGGUACGGUGCUGAGCGCCACGAGUGGUGCGUAAUCAGCCUGCAUUUGCUGGAUCUGGCUGCUUGUGAGUGUGGCACAGCAAAACCGCAGGAGGAGCAGGAGUCAGUGUAUGGGGUCUCCUUGUCCAGCUCGAUUUCUGUGAGGGGGGAAGGCCAUUUUCUGGAUGAAGCCAGUGCUGCUUCAGGCAAACCUCCUUACAUCUAGUAGAGGGAGCUUCCAAAGUGACUUUUGUUGUAGAAGGAGAACCAAGUAUCCAAGCCAGGCAGAAGAGCUGGGCGACAAGGAACCUGAAGGGAUUUGACCCCUUGUGGUAAAAAGGCAACCAGGAAAGCUGUCAUGAAAUAAUGCUUCUAAAGGGAAAGGAGCUGGCCGUGGGGUGCAGCACGGCUCAGGGUGCAGCCCUGUCCACACCAGGGGAUUUUCUGGCUUAGCAGGGUCCCCUGCACUGCGUCACCUUUUGUCUUCCACUUUUCUGCAAAUCCCGGGCCCAUGCUGAUAAAACCCGGUGACACAAACAAAGCCUGACUCACGCUUACUCUGCACGUAAAAUGCAAAGUGGGUGACUGGGAAAAUCAGGGAUGGGUUUUGCUUCUGCUCCUUGGCUGCAAUUUCCUCUCGCUGUGGAAGAACCCUAGGCAGCAAAGCGGGAGUCGGUUUGAAGCCGAAUCCCGUGUUCCUAUUUUUAAAAUCCAAAUUUUGGAGUAGGAAAAAAAGCGGUAGGAAAAGAUGUUGAUUGUCACGCUGUUUUCUGUGGGCAGGUCUCUCUUGCUUUGCACAGCAGCGUGCAGAAUUGGAGUUUAUUGCUCUGACUGCUGCAUUGUUCGGCUUUACAAGUGCCUGAUGGCCAGAGCCAAAUACCGCAAUUGGUCUUGUUUCUGAUUACCCCUUGACUUUUUUGUUUGUUUUUCGCUUGCAGCUGGAAAUUUCCCCUGCUCUGAAAGCUGCCAAGCUGUGAUUCUCUCUGCCUGCAUCGCACCCGGCACCUUCUCCUCGCAGAGCUUCCCGUCGGGUUUGGUCAGGGACAGAGGACAGAUAGAGAGGUUGAUAAAGGUGGACUUGUGGCAAAAAGAGGACACCGCCACUUGUCCCUGAGCAAAUGGGGGGCCUUAUGUUUAACACCGGGCACCAAAUGCCUCCCCGGUCCCUUACCUAUAGGAAAGGGACAAAAACACUCAGGCCUGGGUGCAAAGAAAACGUGCAGGUGAAGCGGUGUGUCACAGUCCAUAAAGGCAUAUGGAGAAAUAUGGGGUUUAUGCGUCCCAGUGCGUUCUCCACCCAUUUUAAAUACAUUUGAGGUCUGGGUGGCUGCUCUGGAUUUGGUUUCUGCUGUAUAAAAAGAAGGCUUUUGGCGAUGGGGUUGUAUCUCCAAGUAGUUUUGAGCAUAAAUGAAGGCAGGGGUUGCCUCUUCCCUAGUCAAACCCACGCAGCAGGCAGUUGCAUUACUCUGUACAUUGAUUUGCACCCCCAGUUCAACUGGUUGAUAGCAAGAGUGAGAAGAAGACACCAGACCAGAGCCACUGUGCAAAUCAAAGCUGUAGUUGCACAGAAAUUGGUAGUAGCAACUCCCCGUGUAAUGCCAUAUGCUUCCUUUAUAAAAUGUUCCUCCCCUUUUCUGAGAAGCUCUAACAAAUCCAUUGCUUGCAGCAGGCUCAGUUUUCCCAAGGAGAAGCCCUUCUCUUUAUCGUGUGCAGCUCUGGGUUUUGCUGAGUGAGAAGCCAGCACAGAUCACCGUUUCUCUGUGUCAUCCCCAUCAUGAAAAUUUUAGGACCAGGCCUAUGUGGCUGGCUCUGUAAUAGCACAGAACGCUGCGCCGAGAGCUCCUGGGAUUCUCCAAGUGUAUGCAUUAUGCAUAGAUAUACUGAUAUUGUUUGUGGUUAUAUGAUCAAAUGCUUUUCUUUUUGGUAUAACACUUCUACUUCCUUCAGAGCUUGAUGGUUGCUCCCAUGGAAGCUCUCACUGGCCUCAGUAAAGCAGAAUCAAAAUCUUUAGGAAGAAAGUGAAGGGCAGCAUUAAAUGUACAGGAAAGCAGAAAUUUGUGAUUUGCUAACUUUUUCUUGCUCAGCCAAAAUCACUUUUUUUUUUUAACAUGCAAGCAGACAGGAUGCGGUACAUCUAUAUUUUACACUUACGCUAUGUAUUUUAUUUGGUAAUUUUUUUUUUCUUGGAUGAGCUUUGAACAAAUGCUAAGUUAUUCUUUAUACUUGGUAAUGCUGCAGAGAAUUCUUGAAUUAUUUAUUUCCUACAUUUUAGCUUAGUGUGUCUGGAUGCCUGAAAGCCAACUUUGUAACUGAUUGGGUGUUUGAAAUUUCUGAGAACAUUUAGCUUUCUCCUCCAACGGAGAGCAGUUUUCUAGAAGGUGCAGCAGCCUUGUUGUCAGAUAAGUGGUAAAUCAGAGCAAGAGGGGCUCAAGUCUGCCAGCGGGAUGUGGAAGAAGUUGCCUUCUGCUGGGUGGAGGUGGGCACAGGUUGCUUUGGUGCUGUCAGCUCCAGCACCCCAUCAUCGCUGCUGAUGUGCUUAUGGAGAAGGAGCCAAAGUUGUCAUCGAGGUCACAGGUUUUUAACAGGUGAAGGCAGGAUGCUGUUUUCCCCAUGUGGCCGGUGUAAGUGAGAUUCGAGGUGAGGAAAGGUGCUUUCCCGAGAAAGCAGCCCUCCACCCGUUUGCCUGCACCGCUCAUUUGUUCAGCUGCAUGAGUUUGCCAUGGCGAUUAUCAAAGCGAGUCUUGGCAACCAUUAUUGUAUACUUGGUGCUCAAGAGCGAGCAGCAGGUUGGCCGCGGUGGACAGCUGGCUCGUUCACAUGCGUGUACACAAACGUGCGUGUACACAAACGUGUACGCACACCCUGGCUGCCCGUCGUCCCCAGGGCUCCCUCUCCGUGCAUGUCGCUGGGUCAGAGCCUCCUGCUGUUGGGCUCCCUCGAUGCUGGGAGGGAGCUGGCAGGGAGAUGGGCGAAAUGCUGCUACAUUUUCACCCCGAGAAAGCAAGGCCAAGUAUAUAUAGUGCGUAUUGAGCCCUCCUCCCAGCUGGCAGAUAUUUCCGCGCUAAUGAGGGUGCAGUCAUCUCAUAGUCAGAGCACGUGCUGGGAGAAGGAGGGGAAGGGCGUUCGUGGGGACGUGCUCAAAUGUGUAUCUGCACUUUUAAAGGUUACGAUUUACAUUGGUCUCCCAAGUUCCUCUGCUGCUGGCAGAUGGAGUCAGCAGUGCCUGUUAGCCAUGUGCCGUGUCUGUGCUCAUGGCAUUACCCAGAGGAGGUCGUGGCUGAGUUGCUUUUUCUGCACAAAAGAAGUUCCCUCUCCUUUGCAGGAGCUGAA